rnacentral:rRNA from 1 species
UACGUAGGGAGCAAGCGUUGUCCGGAAUCAUUGGGCGUAAAGCGCGCGUAGGCGGCCCUGUAAGUCCGUUGUGAAAGUCAAAGGCUCAACCUUUGAAAGCCGAUGGAUACUGCAGGGCUGGAGUCCGGAAGAGGCGAGUGGAAUUCCUGGUGUAGCGGUGGAAUGCGCAGAUACUCAGGAGGAACACCAAUAGCGAAGGCAGCUCGCUGGGACGGUACUGACGCUGAGGCGCGAAAGCGUGGGGAGCGAACAGG